rnacentral:rRNA from 1 species
AGAGUUUGAUCCUGGCUCAGGAUGAACGCUGGCGGCGUGCCUAACACAUGCAAGUCGAGCGAAGCACUUCAUUAGAACUCUUCGGAGGGACGAGGAAGUGACUGAGCGGCGGACGGGUGAGUAACGCGUGGGCAACCUGCCUUACACAGGGGGAUAACAGUUAGAAAUGACUGCUAAUACCGCAUAAGACCACAUUGCCGCAUGGCAGGGUGGUAAAAACUCCGGUGGUGUAAGAUGGGCCCGCGUCUGAUUAGGUAGUUGGCAGGGUAGAGGCCUACCAAGCCUACGAUCAGUAGCCGGCCUGAGAGGGUGGACGGCCACAUUGGGACUGAGACACGGCCCAAACUCCUACGGGAGGCAGCAGUGGGGAAUAUUGCACAAUGGGGGAAACCCUGAUGCAGCGACGCCGCGUGAGUGAGGAAGUAUUUCGGUAUGUAAAGCUCUAUCAGCAGGGAAGAAAAUGACGGUACCUGACUAAGAAGCCCCGGCUAACUACGUGCCAGCAGCCGCGGUAAUACGUAGGGGGCAAGCGUUAUCCGGAUUUACUGGGUGUAAAGGGAGCGUAGACGGAGGAGCAAGUCUGAUGUGAAAAUCCGGGGCCCAACCCCGGAACUGCAUGGGAAACUGUUUAUCUAGAGUGUCGGAGAGGCAAGUGGAAUUCCUAGUGUAGCGGUGAAACGCGUAGAUAUUAGGAGGAACACCAGUGGCGAAGGCGGCUUGCU